rnacentral:rRNA from 1 species
UACAGAGGGUGCAAGCGUUAAUCGGAAUUACUGGGCGUAAAGCGUGCGUAGACGGUCAUGUAAGUCGGGUGUGAAAGCCCCGGGCUCAACCUGGGAAUUGCAUUCGAGACUGCAUGGCUAGGGUGCGGAAGAGGGAAGCGGAAUUUCCGGUGUAGCGGUGAAAUGCGUAGAUAUCGGGAGGAACAUCUGUGGCGAAGGCGGCCACCUGGACCAACACUGACACUGAGGCACGAAAGCGUGGGGAGCAAACAGG